GAGGCAAAGUCGACAAAUGUUGGUGAUGCCUAUAAAAAUGUUAUGAGGAAGGUCCCACAGCCAGUGGUGGUUGUAACGACGUCUGGACAUGAUAUCUUAAACAACAGCUGGUUGAAAAGAGGAGUAACCUGUACAUCCUUCAGCAGCGUUUCCUUAGACCCAGCAGUUGUCUCCUUCUGUUUGAAUCAUUCAAGCCGCAUGCAUGACCUUUUGCUUAGGACUCAGCAGUUUGCUGUCCAUGUCCUUGCCAGGGACCAGGU